rnacentral:rRNA from 1 species
UACGAAGGGGGCUAGCGUUGCUCGGAAUGACUGGGCGUAAAGGGCGCGUAGGCGGUUUAGACAGUCAGAUGUGAAAUUCCCGGGCUUAACCUGGGGGCUGCAUUUGAUACGUCUAGGCUUGAGUGAGGAAGAGGGUUGUGGAAUUCCCAGUGUAGAGGUGAAAUUCGUAGAUAUUGGGAAGAACACCGGUGGCGAAGGCGGCCUUCUGGACAGUGACUGACGCUGAGACGCGAAAGCGUGGGAGCAAACAGG